rnacentral:rRNA from 1 species
UACAGAGGAGCCAAGCGUUGUCCGGAUUGACUGGGCGUAAAGCGCACGCAGGCGGAUCUGCGCGUGGGGUGUGAAAUCGAACGGCUUAACCGUUCGCCGCCAUCCCAUACGGCAGGUCUUGAGCGAUGCAGAGGUCGGUGGAAUUGCCGGUGUAGUGGUGAAAUGCGUAGAGAUCGGCAGGAACACCCAGGGGGAAACCAGCCGACUGGGCAUCUGCUGACGCUGAGGUGCGAGAGCGUGGGGAGCGAACCGG